AUUAACGCAGAUAGUGGAUGCCUUGGUCGUAUCUUCCGAAGAAGGACGUACAUAGCCACGAUAGUCGACGGGGAACUGCUACGAAGUUUUGAUCCGUCGGUGUCCGAAUGGAGCAAUCCUUCCUGAUUUAUAUCAGGAAACUUGUAAGCCAAAUUAUCCAAUUUAUUGGAUGAAUAACUUACAAUGAGGGAACCAUCUGAACUGAAACAUCUAAGUAAGAUGAGGAAAAGAAAUCAAAGAGAUUGCGUCAGUAGCGGCGAGCGAAAGCGCAAGAGCCUAAACCUUGUUCAUGUUUACAUGAGUGAGGGGUUGUGGGAGCCCAAUGUGGGAUUAGAAUUUAAUAGUAGAACAAUCUGGAAUGGUUGACCAUAGAGAGUGAAAGUCUCGUAAACGAAAUUAAAUUUUACCCUAGGGAAUUCCCAAGUAACAUGAGAUACACAUCUUGUGUGAAUCCGGGGGAACCAUCCUCCAAGGCUAAAUAAAGAUACGAACCGAUAGUGAACUAGUACCGUGAGGGAAAGGUGAAAAGAAGGGUGAGACACCCAAUGAAAUAGAAACUGAAACUAUCUGCGGACAAACCGACAGAGCACUUCGCAAGAGGUGUGAUGUCGUGCCUAUUGAAGAAUGAGCCUGCGAGUUCUCGCUUACUGUGUGUUUAAAACGGUUUUACCGUUUAGGCAUAGCGAAAGCAAGUGUUAAUAGCGCGUAUAAACACAGUAACCGGGAGACCCGAAACCGAGUGAUCUAACCUUGAGCAGGGUGAGUCUUAAAGAAAUUUAAGAGGAGGCCCGAACCCGUUAUCGUUGUAAUGAUAUGGGAUGACUUGUGGUUAGUGGCAAAAUACCAACCGAACUCGGAGAUAGCUGGUUCUCCCCGAAAGGUCUAUAGGGACCGCGCCAUGCAAAAAGAUUAUCAGGGGUAAAGCUACUGGAUGGGUUAGCAAGGGUAACCGAGUUAACUCAACCAAACUCAGAAUACUGAUAAAAUAAAGCAUGGUAGACAGUCAUAUCGGGCUAAGCUGAUAUGGCUAAAGGGAAACAUCCCAGAUUUUCAGCUAAGGCCUCUAAAUCUACAUUAAGUUUAAAAGGAAGUUUUUUCUCUCAGACAGCCAGGAGGUUGGCUCAGAAGCAGCCACCCUUUAAAGAUAGCGUAACAGCUCACUGGUCGACUGAGAAGAAGCGCCUAAGAUUUAUCGAGGAUCAAAUGUAGUGCCGAAGCUAGAGAUGUCCUACUUUUAGUAGGGCGUGGUAGGGGAGCGUCCCAUAUGCAGUGAAGGCAAAUUGUAAGAUUUGUUGGAGUGUAUGGGAGUGAGAAUGCAGGCAUGAGUAGCGCACUAGACGGGUGAAAAUCCCGUCCGCCGAAUACCCAAGGUUUCCGUCGCAAGGUUCGUCCUCGACGGGUUAAUCGGUUCCUAAGGUGAGGUCAGUUUAACUGGCGUAGCCGAAGGACAAGUAGUUAAAAUUCUACUAUUUUUUGUAAGUCGUUAUUAAUUGGGGGUUCCCAAACAGGAAUACUGUAGCCUUCAUGUGAUGAGGGUUUAAACUGUGAAAUAGUUCUGAAUAGAAAAUCUAUCAGAAUGUUUAAUUGAGCAGUAAUGUAAAUUUCGCCGUGAGGUGAGAAAUUACAAAUAUUUCAGUUUGCAAGAAAACACUCGCAAUGAGACUUAUAAGAAGCCGUACCGCAAUCCGACACAGGUGGGUUGGUAGAGAAUACUAAGGCGAUCGAGAGAAGAAUCCUCAAGGAACUCGGCAAAAAAACUACCCGUAACUUCGGGAGAUGGGUUCCCUAACUUUUAGUUAGGGGCCACCAAAAGUUUGCUGACCGACUGUUUAUCAAAAACACAGGUCUGUGCGAAGUCGAAAGACGAAGUAUACAGGCCGACGCCUGUCCAGUGCCGGUAAGUUAAAGAGAGGAGUGGUACGAAUUUAUUCGUACUGCUUUGACCUAAAGCUCCGGUGAAACGACAGCAGUAACUAUAGACACAGUUGUAGUUAGUAGGUUUUAACUCCUACCGUCUAAGGAAGACGAAAAGUUGACCAUAUGCUGGAAACACUCAAGUAUCUGACAGUACCGAAAGGUAAAAAUCUGUUCAGUGGAGUCAAUCAGCAGGAAAGAUUCUAAAUUUAUUUAGAAUAUCCUCAGAGACUAUACGUCAACUGCUAAAUUUGUGCUAACAAUUUAGUAAUGAUAUAGUCCGAUCUCAUAAGCGAUUAUGAGUCUACGUAAAUUUAUGAAAAUCGUAGCAAGUAACAUCAUAAACUGUUCUAAGGUAACUUAAUAGCUGCCUUAGUAAAAUCUAGCUAUAUGCUGGAACAUCUCGUUAAACUAAGUCUACUAUGGUAAAAUCUAUCCUUAGAUUAUGGCAAGUAAAAAUGAUUUAGGUAGAGAAAAUCAGCAGGAAAGGCUUAAAACAAUCGGAUGGAUUGUUGGAUUUGUAGAUGGAGAAGGAUGUUUUUCAGUAUCAGUUUUUAAGAAUAAAACUACGAAAAAUGGAUGGCAAAUUUUUCCGGAAUUUGUUGUAACACAAAGUGAGAGAAGUAUAUCAACUCUUCAAGAAAUUAAAAAAUUUUUUGGAUGUGGAAAUAUAUUUGUAAAUCACCGUUACGACAACCAUAACGAAAAUUUGUACCGUUAUUGCGUUAGAAAUAUUCAUGAUCUGAAAGAUAAAAUUAUCCCAUUUUUUGAAUCAAACAACCUGAGAUCUGCAAAGAUAAAGGACCUUAAUAUCUUUAAAGAAGUAGUAUUACUUAUGAUAAAUAAGAAACAUCUACAAAAAGAAGGUUUUGAUAAAAUACUAUCAAUUGCAGGUAAAAGAAAGAUUUAAGAAUCCCCAGAGACUAUACGCUAGAACAAUUCUAUU
rnacentral:rRNA from 2 species